CGCAUGCCGUUCGUUUGUGUGAGCUGCUUGAUCGUGUGGUUUUGUGUUUGCUUUAAUGAAAUGGGACGUAGUUAGCGUGCACAAAAGUGCCAGAAGAUACCUUGUGUUUCGUUGCAAACUCGCCGUAUGCGUGGCGCGCGAGGCAAACAUGGACCAACGAUUUUUGUGCCGUGGCCUUUGUGUCGGGUUGUCGUGCAAAGUUGGGUGGACAUCGCAAAGAAAUCAUUCCUAUUGGUAGCGUGCCUCAGAUCGUCCACUACGCAGCGGCAUGUAUGCUGGGAGUAACAUCGUCGACGCAGCACCGGCAACUUGGAGAGCGUCGUGCCAUUGAAAAGCAGUGUCCACAUGAUGGCAGGGAACCUGUGGCCCUGGCUACAGCAGCACAGCGUGUAAUCUGGAUGUCACGUCAGGUGAACGAUCUUAUCUGGCCUGAAGUCCUAUGGCGGCAAUGCACGACCGCAUUGGGGAGGCUGAGGUUCAGGGCAAGAGCCUUUAUGGAAAGGGCAGUAACAGGCACAAGAAGGACCCAGUGAAGGAUGGAUUGGAUCCAGUU